AGAGUUUGAUCAUGGCUCAGGACGAACGCUUGCGGCGUGCCUAAGAAAUGCAAGUCGAGCGAGGGAUCACGCUGACCAAAGCUUCGGCAGAGGUCUUGUGAAACCUAGCGGCGAACGGUCGCGUAACACGUAAGCAACCUGCCCUGAAGCGGGGGAUAGCCCACCGAAAGGUGGAGUAAUACCGCAUGUGGAUACGGUGUCGCAUGUCACUGUAUCUAAAGCAGCAAUGCACCUCAGGAUGGGCUUGCGGCCUAUCAGCUAGUUGGUGGGGUAGAGGCCUACCAAGGCGACGACGGGUAGCUGGUCUGAGAGGAUGGUCAGCCGGAUUGGGACUGAGAUACGGCCCAGACUCCUACGGGGGGCAGCAAUUAGGAAUCUUGCGCAAUGGGCGAAAGCCUGACGCAGCGACGCCGCGUGAGCGAUGAAAUCUUUCGGGAUGUAAAGCUCUGUCCUGUGGGGAAGAAGAAUGUGACGGUACCCGCAGAGAAAGCCCCGGCUAACUACGUGCCAGCAGCCGCGGUAAUACGUAGGGGGCGAGCGUUGUCCGAAUUUACUGGGCGUAAAGCGCGUGUAGGCGGUUCUUUAAGUCAGGUGUGAAAUCCUGUGGCUCAACCACAGAACUGCACUUGAAACUGAAGGGCUUGAGUGUGGGAGAGGAAAGUGGAAUUCCUGGUGUAGCGGUGAAAUGCGUAGAUAUCAGGAGGAACACCCGUGGCGAAGGCGGCUUUCUGGCCCACCACUGACGCUGAGACGCGAAAGCUAGGGGAGCGAACGGGAUUAGAUACCCCGGUAGUCCUAGCCGUAAACGAUGGAUACUAGGUGUUAGAGGUAUCGACCCCUCUAGUGCCGUAGCUAACGCAUUAAGUAUCCCGCCUGGGGAGUACGGCCGCAAGGUUGAAACUCAAAGGAAUUGACGGGGGCCCGCACAAGCGGUGGA
rnacentral:rRNA from 1 species